rnacentral:rRNA from 1 species
GGCUCAGUAACACGUGGCUAACCUACCCUUGAGACGGAGACAACCCCGGGAAACUGGGGCUAAUCCCAGAUAGAUGAGAACUCCUGGAACGGGUUCUCGUCCAAAAGGCGUCUAGGUCAUGCUUCUAGGCGUCGCUCAAGGAUGGGGCCGCGGCCGAUCAGGCUGUUGGUGAGGCAACGGCUCACCAAACCUUUAACCGGUACGGGCCGUGGGAGCGGGUGCCCGGAGAUGGGAACUGAGACAAGGUCCCAGGCCCUACGGGGCGCAGCCGUUGCGAAACCUCGUCAAUGCACGAAAGUGUGAACGGGCUACCCCGAGUGCUGUCCGCUGAGGAUGGCUUUUCUCUGCUGUAAGGAGGCGGAGGAAUAAGGAGAGGGCAAGUCUGGUGUCAGCCGCCGCGGUAAUACCAGCUCUCCGAGUGGUGGGGAUGUUUAUUGGGCCUAAAGCGUCCGUAGCCUGCCCUUCAAGUCUUUCGUUAAAUCCAGCGAUUCAAUCGUUGGACUGCGGGAGAUACUGUUNGGCUAGGGGGCGGGAGAAGCCGACGGUAUUUCCGGGGGUAGGGGUAAAAUCCUAUAAUCCCCGGGAGGANCACCAGUGGNCGUAGGCGGUCGGCUAGCACGUGCUCGACGGUGAGGNACGAAAGCUGGGGGAGCNACCGGAUNAGAUACCNNGAUAGUCCAGCNGUAACGAUGCGGNCUAG